UUCUGUCUUAAUAUAAUGAAUAGCCAGAGCAGCAGACAUUUAACCAAAAGGCAUCUGUAUACCAGAUACUGAAUUUUCAGUUCAUUUACCUUAAAAAAAAAAAGAAGAAGCUUUAUACAGAGUCCAAAUUGCCCCUGGAUAAGCAUAUUUCAUAGAUCUUACCUACAGACAAAGCAAAGUUACACAUAUUUUAAAAGUCAGCAUUAUUCAAUAGAUUUUUUC
rnacentral:lncRNA from 1 species